rnacentral:rRNA from 1 species
CAAAGGGAGCAAUCCCGGCCACGGAUGGGCAUGCGGCGCAUUAGCUAGUCGGCGGGGUAACGGCCCACCGAGGCGACGAUGCGUAGGGGUUCUGAGAGGAAGGCCCCCCACACUGGUACUGAGACACGGACCAGACUCCUACGGGAGGCAGCAGUGAGGAAUAUUGGUCAAUGGGCGCGAGCCUGAACCAGCCAAGUCGCGUGAGGGAGGACGGCCCUACGGGUUGUAAACCUCUUUUGCCGGGGAGCAACGGGCGUCACGUGUGGCGCCACUGAGAGUACCCGGAGAAAAAGCAUCGGCUAACUCCGUGCCAGCAGCCGCGGUAAUACGGAGGAUGCGAGCGUUAUCCGGAUUUAUUGGGUUUAAAGGGUGCGUAGGCGGAUCGUUAAGUCAGUGGUCAAAUUGAGGGGCUCAACCCCUUCCCGCCAUUGAAACUGGCGAUCUUGAGUGGAAGAGAAGUAUGCGGAAUGCGUGGUGUAGCGGUGAAAUGCAUAGAUAUCACGCAGAACCCCGAUUGCGAAGGCAGCAUGCCGGCUUCCGACUGACGCUGAAGCACGAAAGCGUGGGGAUCGAACAGGAUUAGAUACCCUGGUAGUCCACGCGGUAAACGAUGAGCGCUAGGUGUCCGGGGGGAAUGGCCCCUGG